UAGUAACUGCGAGUGAAGCGGGAAGAGCUCAAAUUUUGAAUCUGGCGGUCCUCGUGGUCGUCCGAGUUGUAAUCUAGAGAAGCGUUUUCCGCGCUGGACCGUGUACAAGUCUCCUGGAACGGAGCGUCAUAGAGGGUGAGAAUCCCGUCUCUGACACGGACUACCAGGGCUUUUGUGAUGCGCUCUCGACGAGUCGAGUUGUUUGGGAAUGCAGCUCAAAUUGGGUGGUAAAUUCCAUCUAAAGCUAAAUACAGGCGAGAGACCGAUAGCGAACAAGUACCGUGAGGGAAAGAUGAAAAGAACUUUGGAAAGAGAGUUAAACAGUACGUGAAAUUGCUGAAAGGGAAACGCUUGAAGUCAGUCGCGUUGGCCGGGGAUCASCCUUGCAAUCUUGUUGGGUGCAUUUCCUGGUUGACGGGUCAGCAUCAAUUUUGACCGUCGGAGAAGGGUUGAGGGAAUGUGGCAUCCUUCGGGGUGUGUUAUAGCCUUUGAUCGCAUGCGACGGUUGGGAUUGAGGAACUCAGCAUGACCCCUCGUGGGUUUGGGGCUUCGGCUCACAUCCAUGCUUAGGAUGCUGGCAUAAUGGCUUUAAGCGACCCGUCUUGAAACACGGACCAAGGAGUYUAACAUGCCCGCGAGUGUUUGGGUGCUUAAAACCCGAGCGCGUAAUGAAAGUGAAAGUUGAGACCUCUGUCGUGGAGGGCAUCGACGCCCGGACCAGAACUUUUGUGACGGCCCUGCGGUAGAGCGUGUAUGUUGGGACCCGAAAGAUGGUGAACUAUGCCUGAAUAGGGUGAAGCCAGAGGAAACUCUGG
rnacentral:rRNA from 1 species